GUCCAGACUCCUACGGGAGGCAGCAGUGGGGCCUCUUGAACAAUGGGCGCCAGCCUGAUGCCGCCAUGCCGCGUGUCUGAAGAAGGCCUUCGGGUUGUAACGUCCUUUCAGCGGGGAGGACGGUGCUGCGGUUCCUAACCUCAGCAAUUGACGUUACCCGCAGAAGAAGCACCGGCUAACUCCGUGCCAGCAGCCGCGGUCAUACGGAGGGUGCAAGCGUUAAUCGGAAUUACUGGGCGUAAAGCGCACGCAGGCGGUCUGUCAAGUCGGAUGUGAAAUCCCCGGGCUCAACCUGGGAACUGCAUUCGAAACUGGCAGGCUGGAGUCUUGUAGGGGGGGGUAGAAUUCCAGGUGUAGCGGUGAAAUGCGGAGAGAUCUGGAGGAAUACCGGUGGCGAAGGCGGCCCCCUGGACAAAGACUGACGCUCAGGUGCGAAAGCGUGGGGAGCAAACAGGAUUAGAUACCCGAGUAGU
rnacentral:rRNA from 1 species